rnacentral:rRNA from 1 species
AUUGAACGCUGGCGGCAGGCCUAACACAUGCAAGUCGGGAGCGCGGCGGACGGGUGAGUAAUGUAUGGGGAUAUGCCUGAUGGAGGGGGAUAACUACUGGAAAAGGUAGCUAAUAACGCCUACCAUUAGAAGAACCCAUAUGGGAUUAGCUUGUAGGUGGGGUAACGGAUCACCCACACGACGAUCCCUAGCUGGUCUUAGAGGAUGAUAAGCCCGAGGGAGACGUGUACCGUGCCCAGACGCCGACGGGAGGCAUCAUUGGGGAAUAUUGCAGAAGGGGAGCAAGCCUGAUGCAGCCAUGCCGCGUGUAUUAAGAAGGCCGUCGGGUUGUAAAGUACUUUCAUUCGGGAGGCGUUACCGACAGAAGAAGCACCGGCUAACUCCGUGCCAGCAGCCGCGGUAAUUC